rnacentral:lncRNA from 1 species
UCAAUAUCAUCCGUUCGAUUAUGCUGAGAUUAAAUCUGGGCCGUUUAAACUCUUAAUUUUAACCGCUGUUGAAGGCAGUUCUAAGCGGUUACUUGCAGCAAGCAUGUUUUUCUGUCCAUUGGUGGUACCUGCUGUAGUUGUGUUCUUCUAUAUAAUGAGAACUUGAGAAGCAGUCUUCAUCGUUCACUCAUUUUUUGUCUGAAAUAAUCACAGCAUGGAUCACUCAGAAAACUUGUCUGUUUCAUCAUUUCGAUCUCCAAUCACCAGAACUUGUUAAGGCAACAAGGGCAUCUGUUUCAUUGUUUCGAGUAGUAGAUCUUGCAGAAAACUUGUCUGACUCUGAUCUUGUCAAACUCGGAUUAGAAACGGUUGAAACCGGAGAAUCAGACAUAUCAAUAUAUCAUGAUAAUGUUGUUGUUGUCUCUCAAUAUCAUUUGUGACAUCAAUAACGCGCUCCCUGUAGUCGAACAUGUUAUAAGAAGAUCUAGGGACUUGCAUAGUGCUAGCUUGACUUUCUGACUUUCUGUGUGUGGGAUUUCUUUGACUUUCUAGAUUCUAAAGUCAGCUCUAGAUUCGACUUCGAAUUCCCGUUACAAGGGCUGAUGAUUUCUUCAUUAGAUGAGUUAUUUCUAAGUGAUUCAAGAGACUGGAAAGGUGGUAACAUGUUCUUCACUUCAUGUUGCAAGCAAGUUUGUAAUGUUUUGUGCGAAGAUGGCCAAUUAUGAGCGAUGUUCGUGCUACGCAAAUCGAAUACACAGUCU